UUUCCGUAGGUGAACCUGCGGAAGGAUCAUUCAUAAUAAAGUGUUUUAUGGCACUUUUUAAAAAUCCAUAUCCACCUUGUGUGCAAUGUUAGAUCUCGUCAAUCUUGGCGAGAUUUUUAUACAUCAACUCAUUCUUUAACUAAUUUGUCUGAAAAAUAUUAUGAAUACUUAAUUCAAAAUACAACUUUCAACAACGGAUCUCUUGGCUCUCGCAUCGAUGAAGAACGCGGC
rnacentral:misc_RNA from 1 species